GUCCCAUCUCGAGUGAGCCACCAUCGACUGCAUUCCAUCGAGAAUUAUUGAAAAUUUUAACUUGAAAAAUCCUCUCCUACUUUGAUUUAUUUUCUCUUUUUUCUCUAACUUUUGCUACCAACUACCACCGUCGAUGCCGAUUAAGUGACCUCUUGGCCAUGCCACCAUAGCCCCAGCCACUGCCAACCCAGAUACCACUGAUAAAUGCCACUAUGAUUUAGAAAAGAGAGAGAAUAAGGAAUCCCUUGUUUCAUCAAGAAGAAGAAGAGAGGAAGAAGAAAGAAGAAAA
rnacentral:lncRNA from 1 species